CUGGUGAGUGGUGUUUCAGGGCAUCGGGGAGCCAUGCAGGAGACACGAGGAGUGCCAGAGCAACUGCUGUACCAUCAACAGCCUGGCCCCACACACGCUCUGCACCCCUAAGACCAUCUUCCUGCAGUGCCUGCCCUGGAGGAAGGUGAGGUGCGUGCAGGGGCGGGGGUGGAGGAGCGAGACUGCCUGUGGCCCCCUCCUACCUGCCCCUGAAGAGCCAGGGAGUGGAUGGUGGGUGCAGGGAUGACGCGUCUCCUGUCCCAUAGCCCAAUGGGUACAGAUGCUCGCACGACUCAGAGUGCCAGAGCAGCUGCUGCGUCCGCAACAACAGCCCGCAGGAGUUGUGCACGCCCCAAAGCGUCUUCCUGCAGUGUGUGCCCUGGCGCAAGGUGAGCUGCGGGCACCCGGGGCAGAUGGAGCAGGGGUAGCCGGAGACAGCCCCUCUCCACGACUGCUGCCUGGCUGCCUCCCCAGCCCAACGGCGACUUCUGCAGCAGCCAUCAGGAGUGUCACAGCCAGUGCUGCAUCCAGCUGAGGGAGUACAGCCCCUUCCGCUGCAUUCCCCGGACCGGGAUCCUGGCCCAGUGCCUGCCCCUGUGAUGUGAGCUCGAACCUGGGCGCGAGGGACCGGCCUGGGCCCUGGGAUGUUCACGCAGGACCGCGUUGCGCGGGGGCUGGUUCCAGCGGAAGCUUCCCUUACGGUUUGUGCUGCUGUUUCUGGGGCUCUGAAAAUCUGUGGGAACUGAAAGGCUGUGACCAGCCUGGUGGCGCGAAGUGUCUGUGAGAACAAAUCCCAGGCACUGGGGUGUAGCCUGAUUGUUAAACAUCAAUAAAGGCUCCUGGCCGACUGAGCAGCCGUGUCUCACCCCUUCUGUGUUUUGAAUAAUAAAAGCAUAAAAUCUGAAGGAAACCUGGAGGUCACAGAGAGGUGGCGUCGGCUGGGUCCGUGCCAGAGCGGCCUUCUGGGAAGCCUGGGGAG
rnacentral:lncRNA from 1 species